UCCCGUGCAGUGCCAGGCUAGGCAGAUGGUGUCAGCUGAGCUGGGGCGAGUCCCAGCCACUGCAGACAGCCCCGGCGACCGCUGCAGCCCGGGUGGGGUUUGCAGGGCAUAGGAAGGGGCUGGAGCAGCUGGGAGCGGUGGGUGCCGGGAGGAAGGAGGCAGGAGCCGGGAGAGCAAAGAACGGGGAGCAUCAGACCCCGGACAGCUCCUGAGAGACCAGACGCUGCUGCCCCCGUUUUGACCUGAGAGCUGAACAGCUGCUGCUUCCCCAGCGGGAUCUGUGCUGGGGAGAGCAUGUCAUUAACCCCUCCGUGCCCGGCCGUGUAGGGAGACCUCCGGCUAGAAACCGCCCCUGAUUCUGCUGACGGCAACUCCCGAGCUGAGACUCCAGAUGACUGAGCCCUUGGGGCUGGGCAGCAAGUGAUGGUUAGGUGAGGGAGAACGAGGAGCAGAAUCCUCGCCAGGAAGAUGCUGAGCUUGUAGAAGCACAUGGGGCAUUACUGCGAAGAUCCAAAGGGAAUGUGUCCAGCCCCAGUGAGCUGGGAAAAGCUGGCGAAAGUUACCACAGACCAGAGAGAGAGAGCAGGGAAACCACUCAGAGGAGAAAGUGGAUGAACCCAUUAAUUAUCAGGGAACUCACAAGGACCUCAAGGAAACUACAUCCCAGGAGAAAAUCCUCAGGGAAAAGAGAAAGAAUACAUGCAUUGAAUGUGGGAAAAACUUCAAUUACCACUCAGCCCUUAUUCAACAUGAGAUAAUCCACAUAAAAGAGAGAGCCUAUGAAUGCUGUGAGUGUGAGAAAAGCUUCAAUCAUACCUCAGCCCUUAUUAGACAUCAGCGAAUACACAGAGGAGAGAGACCCUAUGAAUACUGUGAGUGUGGGGAAAGCUUCACUCACAGCUCAGUCCUUUCUACCCAUCAGCUAAUUCAUACAGGGGAGAGACCCUAUGAAUGCAGUGAGUGUGGGAAAAGUUUCAUUGACAUUGCCUCCCUUAUCUCUCAUCAAAAAGUCCACACGGGAGAGAAACCCUAUGAAUGUUGUGAGUGUGCCGAAAGCUUCAAUCAUAACUCAGCCCUUAUUAGACAUCAGAGAAUCCCCACAGGAGAGCGAUCCUACAAAUGCUGCAAGUGCGGGAAAAGCUUCACUCAAAGUUCAAACCUUACUAUGCAUCAGAGGAUCCACACACGAUUGAGGCCCUAUGAAUGCAGUGAGUGCAGGAAAAGUUUUACUGACAUCUUCCUUAUCUCUCAUCAGAAAGUCCACACAGGACAGAGACCCUAUGAAUGUCUGAGUGUGGGAAAAGCUUCACUUAGAACUCAGGCCUUCUCUAUCAUCACAGAAUCCAUAAAGGAUAUAAACUCCAUAACAACCUUCUCUAGAGCUGUCAGCGGAUUUUUUUUUCUAAAUUCUUUUGGUAGUUUCCAGGUAGUGACUGUUAAGGCUGUUUGCAUCAUUUGCACACUGUAGUCCCUCAGCUCCCACACAUGAGUUGCCCACUUUUGAAGCCUGCCCAUCUUUGGGGUGGAUCCUGUGGUCCUUUCUAUCAACUCCAUUGUCCUGCAAGUCAUGGGAGUGUGUGUCCUUUCUACCAGGAAUGUCCAUCACCCCACGUGGGGGAGAUAGGGGGUGUCUUCAACCAGCUAUGUCGAGGUAAAAUCUACCUGGGUCUCAUCACUGUGGUUUCCAUGGAGUUAGCUAGUUUGAGUUCGCUUUCCUGAUGUAAAAAGACAGCUAUUCUUGCAGUAAAGACAUGGGCCAUGGAUAGUGGGUGGGGUUAUCUAGUACAUUUCCUCCUGAUCUGACCUAACCACCAUCACAUUUUCUCAUUGAAACAAACUUGGAGAUUCACUUUUAUACUCUUCCUUCCAGUGCAAAGUUAUUGUUCGAGUCGUCAAGUUCCUCUUUGAGGACAGAUUGUCUCAUUCCCAGUUGUUCUCACAUUACCCUGGAUUAUCCUGAACAGCAGUUAUUUUGUUGACCAUUUUUCUCAUUUAAAAUAUAUUUAAAUAUAGUGAAGAGCCAGAGCAGUGUCAGGGAAAUAAGGGUAAUUUCAGGCUCUGUGACACUGGAAGGAGAUGCAGGGGAAGGACGGAAUGUCUGAGUCACAUCAGAACUGUUACCUUGUGUGUGAGCCAUGCAGAGUUCACCCCUUCAUAUUCCUUCACUUCCCAAAGUGUCUGGUGAGGUAGUAUUCUUAGCUAUCCAUGCUUGGGAAUGGUGCUUGGAUGUCUUUGAUCCUAAAUCGGUCACUCUGGCAGGAGAUGAAAGUGUCACAGAUUUGGAAGGGGAUUUCAAAUGGAUCCCAAGCACCGUUCAAAUCCCAUUUUCCCUCUAUUGGCAAAGCCACUUCUGGGAAGGUCAGCUGUUUCCCCCCCCCACCCUUUAUGAAGAUGCUAAAACUUUUGUAAAUAACACUAAUGAGACAGCACUGAGUGAAGCAGGUUUUAUGGGAGAAUCUCUCAUCCUCAUUCUGAGUUAUCAGAUGUAACCUACUCUGGAAUUUCCCUUUAAAUGAAAAUAAAAGUGUCUUCUACCUCUCUGUGA